UACGUAGGGGGCUAGCGUUGUCCGGAAUCAUUGGGCGUAAAGAGCGUGUAGGCGGUCCGGUAAGUCCGCUGUGAAAGUCGGGGGCUCAACCCUCGAAUGCCGGUGGAUACUGUCGGGCUAGAGUGCGGAAGAGGCGAGUGGAAUUCCUGGUGUAGCGGUGAAAUGCGCAGAUAUCAGGAGGAACACCAGUGGCGAAGGCGGUUACCUGGGGCUUUGCUGACGCUGGAUGCGCGAAAGCGUGGGGAGCGAUCCGG
rnacentral:rRNA from 1 species